rnacentral:rRNA from 1 species
UACGGGGGGGGCAAGCGUUGUUCGGAUUUACUGGGCGUAAAGCGAUCGCAGGCUGUUAAUCAAGUCAGGUGUGAAAUCCCUGGGAUCAACCCGGGAAUUGCACUUGAAACUGGUUGACUAGAGUCAUGGAGAGGUAAGUGGAAUUACCAGUGUAGAGGUGAAAUUCGUAGAUAUUGGUAGGAACACCAGAGGCGAAGGCGACUUACUGGCCAUGUACUGACGCUAAGGAUCGAAAGCGUGGGGAGCAAACAGG